AUUGAACGCUGGCGGCAUGCUUUACACAUGCAAGUCGAACGGUAACAGGCCGCAAGGUGCUGACGAGUGGCGAACGGGUGAGUAAUGCAUCGGAACGUGCCCAGUCGUGGGGGAUAACGCAGCGAAAGCUGUGCUAAUACCGCAUACGAUCCAUGGAUGAAAGGGGGGGACCGUAAGGCCUCGCGCGGUGUGAGCGGCCGAUGUCGGAUUAGGUAGUUGGUGGGGUAAAGGCCCACCAAGCCAACGAUCUGUAGCUGGUCUGAGAGGACGACCAUCCACACUGGGAUUGAGACACGGCCCAGACUCCUACGGGAGGCAGCAGUGGGGAAUUUUGGACAAUGGGCGCAAGCCUGAUCCAGCAAUGCCGCGUGCAGGAAGAAGGCCUUCGGGUUGUAAACUGCUUUUGUACGGAACGAAACGGUCUGGGUUAAUACCCUGGGCUAAUGACGGUACCGUAAGAAUAAGCACCGGCUAACUACGUGCCAGCCGCCGCGGUAACAC
rnacentral:rRNA from 1 species